CCUACGGGGGGCUGCAGUGGGGAAUAUUGGACAAUGGGCGAAAGCCUGAUCCAGCCAUGCCGCGUGUGUGAAGAAGGCCUUCGGGUUGUAAAGCACUUUCAGUGGGGAAGAAAGCCUUGGGGCUAAUACCCUCGAGGAAGGACAUUACCCACAGAAGAAGCACCGGCUAACUCCGUGCCAGCAGCCGCGGUAAUACGGAGGGUGCGAGCGUUAAUCGGAAUUACUGGGCGUAAAGCGCGCGUAGGCGGUCUGAUAAGCCGGUUGUGAAAGCCCCGGGCUCAACCUGGGAACGGCAUCCGGAACUGGCAGGCUAGAGUGCAGGAGAGGAGAGUAGAAUUCCCGGUGUAGCGGUGAAAUGCGUAGAGAUCGGGAGGAAUACCAGUGGCGAAGGCGGCCUUCUGGACUGACACUGACGCUGAGGUGCGAAAGCGUGGGUAGCAAACAGGAUUAGAUACCCCUGUAGUC
rnacentral:rRNA from 1 species